rnacentral:rRNA from 1 species
AGAGUUUGAUCCUGGCUCAGGAUGAACGCUGGCGGCGUGCCUAAUACAUGCAAGUCGAGCGAACGGACGAGAAGCUUGCUUCUCUGAUGUUAGCGGCGGACGGGUGAGUAACACGUGGAUAACCUACCUAUAAGACUGGGAUAACUUCGGGGAACCGGAGCUAAUACCGGAUAAUAUUUUGAACCGCAUGGUUCAAAAGUGAAAGACGGUCUUGCUGUCACUUAUAGAUGGAUCCGCGCUGCAUUAGCUAGUUGGUAAGGUAACGGCUUACCAAGGCAACGAUGCAUAGCCGACCUGAGAGGGUGAUCGGCCACACUGGAACUGAGACACGGUCCAGACUCCUACGGGAGGCAGCAGUAGGGAAUCUUCCGCAAUGGGCGAAAGCCUGACGGAGCAACGCCGCGUGAGUGAUGAAGGUCUUCGGAUCGUAAAACUCUGUUAUUAGGGAAGAACAUAUGUGUAAGUAACUGUGCACAUCUUGACGGUACCUAAUCAGAAAGCCACGGCUAACUACGUGCCAGCAGCCGCGGUAAUACGUAGGUGGCAAGCGUUAUCCGGAAUUAUUGGGCGUAAAGCGCGCGUAGGCGGUUUUUUAAGUCUGAUGUGAAAGCCCACGGCUCAACCGUGGAGGGUCAUUGGAAACUGGAAAACUUGAGUGCAGAAGAGGAAAGUGGAAUUCCAUGUGUAGCGGUGAAAUGCGCAGAGAUAUGGAGGAACACCAGUGGCGAAGGCGACUUUCUGGUCUGUAACUGACGCUGAUGUGCGAAAGCGUGGGGAUCAAACAGGAUUAGAUACCCUGGUAGUCCACGCCGUAAACGAUGAGUGCUAAGUGUUAGGGGGUUUCCGCCCCUUAGUGCUGCAGCUAACGCAUUAAGCACUCCGCCUGGGGAGUACGACCGCAAGGUUGAAACUCAAAGGAAUUGACGGGGACCCGCACAAGCGGUGGAGCAUGUGGUUUAAUUCGAAGCAACGCGAAGAACCUUACCAAAUCUUGACAUCCUUUGACAACUCUAGAGAUAGAGCCUUCCCCUUCGGGGGACAAAGUGACAGGUGGUGCAUGGUUGUCGUCAGCUCGUGUCGUGAGAUGUUGGGUUAAGUCCCGCAACGAGCGCAACCCUUAAGCUUAGUUGCCAUCAUUAAGUUGGGCACUCUAAGUUGACUGCCGGUGACAAACCGGAGGAAGGUGGGGAUGACGUCAAAUCAUCAUGCCCCUUAUGAUUUGGGCUACACACGUGCUACAAUGGACAAUACAAAGGGCAGCGAAACCGCGAGGUCAAGCAAAUCCCAUAAAGUUGUUCUCAGUUCGGAUUGUAGUCUGCAACUCGACUACAUGAAGCUGGAAUCGCUAGUAAUCGUAGAUCAGCAUGCUACGGUGAAUACGUUCCCGGGUCUUGUACACACCGCCCGUCACACCACGAGAGUUUGUAACACCCGAAGCCGGUGGAGUAACCUUUUAGGAGCUAGCCGUCGAAGGUGGGACAAAUGAUUGGGGUGAAGUCGUAACAAGGUAGCCGUAUCGGAAGGUGCGGCUGGAUCACCU